GCUUGUCUCAAAGAUUAAGCCAUGCAUGUCUAAGUAUAAGCACUUUAUACUGUGAAACUGCGAAUGGCUCAUUAAAUCAGUUAUAGUUUAUUUGAUACUACCUUACUACUUGGAUAACCGUGGUAAUUCUAGUGCUAAUACAUGCAACGAUCCCCGACUUUUGAAGGGGUGUAUUUAUUAGAUACAAAACCAAUGCCCUUCGGGGCUCCUUGGUGAUUCAUGAUAACUAUACGAAUCGCACGGCCUUGCGCCGGCGAUGGUUCAUUCAAAUUUCUUCCCUAUCAACUUUCGAUGUUUGGGUAUUGGCCAAACAUGGUUGCAACGGGUAACGGAGGGUUAGGGCUCGACCCCGGAGAAGGAGCCUGAGAAACGGCUACUACAUCCAAGGAAGGCAGCAGG
rnacentral:rRNA from 1 species